UUUGAUUAGGAUUAGGAUUUAACUAGAAUUAAGAUUUGGUUUGGAUUUCUUUAGGAUUUUUUUAGGAUUCUUUAGGAUUCUUUUAAGAUUUUUUGAAGGUUCUUUUGAAUUUCUUGAGGAUUUCUUUAGGACUCUUUAAAUUUCUUUAGUAUUUUCUUAUGUUUAUUUAUGAUUUAUUUCAAAAAUAAAAAAUAAAAUAUAAUAUAAUAAUAAUAAUUGGACUUAAUUUAUACUUGAUUAUAUUUAUUAAGCUUCUAUAGUAAUUUAUACACGAUUUUAUUAGAAUUCUUAGGACUUGUUGUUCUAAAUUCUUUUUAUCUUCCACAAUCAAGUGUUCAGUGUAUUUUCAAGCAAG
rnacentral:lncRNA from 1 species